rnacentral:rRNA from 1 species
GACAGAGGCCUCGAGCGUUAGGCGGAAUCACUGGGCUUAAAGCGUGUGUAGGCGGAUCGUUAAGUGCCUUGUGAAAUCCCACGGCUUAACUGUGGAACGGCUGGGCAUACUGGCGGUCCUGAGCCAUCUAGGGGCGACUGGAACAAACGGUGGAGCGGUGAAAUGCGUAGAUAUCGUUUGGAACGCCAAUGAUGAAAACAGGUCGCUGGGGAUGAGCUGACGCUGAGACACGAAAGCCAGGGGAGCAAACGGG